UACACCACCGGGUUUUGUUUUUUAUUUGAAGUAUCUAUUGAUCUAUACUUCCGAAUAUUGAAGAAUAAAAAAAGCGAUGAAAACCUAAAAUUUUUCUGCCGCCUCCUUCUCCACCUAUUCCUGUUUAACUCAUCAUCCAAUUCACCUUAAUUAACUCAUUAUCCACUACAGGUUUCUCUCCUCUUUAUCGAUUAUUUACUAAUGGUUUCUUUUACAGAUUUUUAUAUGGGUGAAUCACUCAUAUUUUAUUGGAUCAAUCAACUUAGUUCGUUUUUAUCCUUUUCUGAUAGUUUUAAUUCAUUAUUGUUGUUUGUUUGAAUUUGUAGAGGCGAUUUCUGUUGGACCGAACAGUCCUAAUAAUGGAAUCAAGUUCUCUGGAGUUUUCACUAAUGAAGCUAGGGUUUUUUAUUUUAAUUAUUUGAUUUGUGUUUUGAUUUUGUAGGGUUGUUGUUGUAACGCAUAUCACAGGUUUCAGAGGAAAGUCUAUGGCUCAACAACAAUUGUUACUACAAUUGUUCAAAUGGGCCACCGAGUGGAGCUGGCACACAAUUACCUUCAGAAGUAAUUCGGAACCUACUCUUUUGUUAUUAAUAGGAAAGUAUGAAAAGGCAAGACAGCAAAGAUACGUGAUCAAUGGGGAAUUCUGCAACAACGCUAGAUUCGACAUCAAUUUCUUAGUUAACUCUUUUGCACUUGUUAGGAGAUCAACUUUAUUUGGGGCAGCUAAUAUAUCAGCCUUUUGUAACAAAUUCUCAAUCGAUCAUGUCUGGACUGGUUAUGCUCUAUGGGCAAUCUUAACUUUCUUGGAUAUCCAGAAUUGGAAUGAAUGUGUAAUGGUUCACAUAACCUUAAACUAUGGAUAUGAUAGAACCUUAUCCAAUGUAAUACGAUGGAAACCUCUUUUUCUAUAAAAAAAAAACAAUCGUUACUACUUAACUGUUAGCUUAUAGUUAUAACUAUCUGUUUUAAUUUAGUUUGAUUAUUCUUUGGCGAGUCUUCUUUUAUUUGGCUGUGCUGUUUGUUUUUACAGGUUGGACAAUCUUUGAUGUUGUUGGUUGCAGUAUUUUGAUAUCUUCUUUUUAGUCUGUAUGCUUCAUGGGUUUUGAUUUUUGGAGUUAAGAACUCUUGGCUAUGGGCAAUAAGAAGUGAGCUUUGUGUGCAUUCCAGUUAUAUGAAAAAGGACCACUGAGGGAAAUCAGAAAAUCAGCGAGCUUAUUCAUAGAGAUGUACACCAUGUAACUUAUUAGGGAUUGACUCCCUAAUUUACCCUUUGGGGAUGCUGGCAGACUCUGCAUUUGAAAAAAAUGCAAACAAGGUACACCAUGUAACUUAUUAGGGAUUGACUCCCUAAUUUACCCUUUGGGGAUGCUGGCAGACUCUGCAUUUGAAAAAAAUGCAAACAAGGUUUUUAUGUGUCACAGGCUCACAGCGUUGGAGCCUGCUGGCAGAGGUCCUUGUGUCGAACCCAAGUGUAUCAUGAAUGGAAGGUUGCACCUCAAAUGGGGAAGGAGGGAGAUGCUACUCAUACAACACCAAACAAUCACUCUUGGAGUGUACAAAUUUUUUAUCGCAGAUUAUCUCAACACCCUAAUCACCCAAAAUUGUUCCUGGCCCUGCAAGGUUUAGGUUAAUUUUCUUAUACUAGAGAAGGAAGAAGAAGAAGAUGAAGUUUUUUUUACUUUGUAGGGAAGAAGAACAUUAUUGUUUCUACAAAGACCGAGCUCAUGAAUUGCUGUGUAAAUAGUCAUGAUGUUGAAAGGGAAGAAGAACAUUUCUUACGAGGUAUCA